GAUGAACGCUAGCGGCAGGCCUAAUACAUGCAAGUCGAGGGGCAGCAGGAAUAGCAAUAUUCGCUGGCGACCGGCGCACGGGUGCGUAACACGUAUACAAUCUGCCUUUAACAGGGGGAUAGCCCGGAGAAAUCCGGAUUAACACCCCAUAACAGUGAUCUUGGCAUCAAGGACACUUAAAAGCUCCGGCGGUUAAAGAUGAGUAUGCGUCUGAUUAGCUAGUUGGUGAGGUAACGGCUCACCAAGGCGACGAUCAGUAGGGGAUCUGAGAGGAUUAACCCCCACACGGAUACUGAGACACGGAUCCGACUCCUACGGGAGGCAGCAGUAAGGAAUAUUGGACAAUGCCCGCAAGGGUGAUCCAGCCAUGCCGCGUGCAGGAAGACGGCCCUAUGGGUUGUAAACUGCUUUUACACCGGAGAAAACCCCACUACGUGUAGUGGGCUGAUAGUAUGGUGAGAAUAAGCAUCGGCUAACUUCGUGCCAGCCGCCGCGGUAA
rnacentral:rRNA from 1 species